GGGGCGGUAGCUCAGUUGGUUAGAGCAGCGGACUCAUAAUCCGUCGGUCGCUGGUUCGAGUCCAGCCCGCCCCA
rnacentral:tRNA from 1 species